GGAAUGUAGCUUAGAGGUAAAGUGCUUGCCUAACAUGAAAGAGACCCUGGGUUCAAUCCUCAGUACAAACCU
rnacentral:tRNA from 1 species